UACGUAGGGUGCAAGCGUUGUCCGGAAUUACUGGGCGUAAGCGUGCGCAGGCGGUUGUGCAAGACAGAUGUGAAAUCCCCGGGCUUAACCUGGGAAUUGCAUUUGUGACUGCACGGCUAGAGUGUGUCAGAGGGGGGUAGAAUUCCACGUGUAGCAGUGAAAUGCGUAGAUAUGUGGAGGAAUACCGAUGGCGAAGGCAGCCCCCUGGGAUAACACUGACGCUCAUGCACGAAAGCGUGGGGAGCAAACAGG
rnacentral:rRNA from 1 species